UAGAGUUUGAUCCUGGCUCAGGAUGAACGCUAGCGGCAGGCUUAAUACAUGCAAGUCGAGGGGCAGCGCAGUGUAGCAAUACAUGGGCGGCGACCGGCAAACGGGUGCGGAACACGUACGCAAUCUACCCGAAACUGGGGCAUAGCCCGGGGAAACCCGGAUUAAUACCCCGUAACACUUUGAAGUGGCAUCACUUUAUAGUUAUAGCUCCGGCGGUUUUGGAUGAGCGUGCGGCUGAUUAGGUAGUUGGCGGGGUAACGGCCCACCAAGCCUACGAUCAGUAACUGGUGUGAGAGCACGACCAGUCACACGGGCACUGAGACACGGGCCCGACUCCUACGGGAGGCAGCAGUAAGGAAUAUUGGUCAAUGGACGCAAGUCUGAACCAGCCAUGCCGCGUGGAGGAUGAAGGCCCUCUGGGUUGUAAACUUCUUUUAUGGGGGACGAAACCUCUUUUUCUAAAGAGACUGACGGUACCCUAGGAAUAAGCACCGGCUAACUCCGUGCCAGCAGCCGCGGUAAUACGGAGGGUGCAAGCGUUAUCCGGAUUCACUGGGUUUAAAGGGUGCGUAGGCGGGCAGGUAAGUCAGUGGUGAAAUCUCUGGGCUUAACUCAGAAACUGCCGUUGAUACUAUCUGUCUUGAAUUCUGUGGAGGUGAGCGGAAUAUGUCAUGUAGCGGUGAAAUGCUUAGAUAUGACAUAGAACACCNNNUGCGAAGGCAGCUCACUACACAGC
rnacentral:rRNA from 1 species